rnacentral:rRNA from 1 species
CCUACGGGUGGCUGCAGUGGGGAAUAUUGGACAAUGGGGGGAACCCUGAUCCAGCCAUGCCGCGUGUGUGAAGAAGGCCCUCGGGUUGUAAAGCACUUUCAGUGAGGAAGAACGCCUGGUAGUUAAUACCCAUCAGGAAAGACAUCACUCACAGAAGAAGCACCGGCUAACUCCGUGCCAGCAGCCGCGGUAAUACGGAGGGUGCGAGCGUUAAUCGGAAUUACUGGGCGUAAAGCGCGCGUAGGUGGCUUGAUAAGCCGGUUGUGAAAGCCCCGGGCUCAACCUGGGAACGGCAUCCGGAACUGUCAAGCUAGAGUGCAGGAGAGGAAGGUAGAAUUCCCGGUGUAGCGGUGAAAUGCGUAGAGAUCGGGAGGAAUACCAGUGGCGAAGGCGGCCUUCUGGACUGACACUGACACUGAGGUGCGAAAGCGUGGGUAGCAAACAGGAUUAGAUACCCUAGUAGUC